CUGAUCACUGGUGGACUGAUCACUGGCGGAGUUCAAGAUAAUCUGUUGUCUCAUGAAUAUGUGAGUAAAGAGAGAGACAGGAGUCCAUGUUGUCGUUGUGGUGUUCUGUAAACGUUCUGACUUUUAUUUCUACAACGUUUGAAACAGCUCAGUGUGGAAGUCUGGAUAUAACUCAUACAGCUGUCAAUCAAACAAACCCCACCCCUCCCCGACAAGAGUCGAUCCUUUACAUACAAACAGUCCUCGCCCGUCUCACAGUCAAAACCCACCAAUCAGAAAUCACACAUCUUUAUCGUACAGUCAUUCAAUCAAACAUGAAUCCGUCAAGUAAAGCCCCCCCCACCCACCUCCACAGCAAAGAUGAGCCAAUGAAAUGUCAGAACCGUGUGUAAACCCCUCCCCCAACAGAGGAGGUUGAAAUAGUUAAUGAUAGACGUCAUCUCUCAGACUGGCAAACUGAUAAAAGCGUGUGAUACAAAAAACAACUAAAAAGAAGAGGUUAACCAAAAUGAUAAGUGGAACGUUAAGUAAAUGAGUGAUAUGAGCAGAGGUCUGUGUUGAAAUGUUAAGUAAAUGAGUGAUAUGAGCAGAGGUCUGUGUUGAAAUGUUAAGUAAAGGAGUGAUAUGAGCAGAGGUCUGUGUUGAAAUGUUAAGUAAAGGAGUGAUAUGAGCAGAGGUCUGUGUUGAAAUGUUAAGUAAAGGAGUGAUGAGUAGAGACGUCUGUGUUGAAAUGUUAAGUAAAGGAGUGAUAUGAGUAGAGAGGUCUGUGUUGAAAUGUUAAGUAAAGGAGUGAUAUGAGCAGAAAGGUGUUGAGAUGUUAAGUAAAGGAGUGAUAUGAGUAGAGAGGUCUGUGUUGAAAUGUUAAGUAAAGGAGUGAUAUGAGCAGAAAGGUGUUGAGAUGUUAAGUAAAGGAGUGAUAUGAGCAGAAAGGUGUUGAGAUGUUAAGUAAAGGAGUGAUAUGAGUAGAGAGGUCUGUGUUGAAAUGUUAAGUAAAGGAGUGAUGAGUAGAGAGGUCUGUGUUGAAAUGUUAAGUAAAGGAAUGAUAUGAGCAGAAAGGUGUUGAGAUGUUAAGUAAAGGAGUGAUAUGAGCAGAAAGGUGUUGAGAUGUUAAGUAAAGGAGUGAUAUGAGUAGAGGUCUGUGUUGAACUGUUAAGUAAAGGAGUGAUAUGAGCAGAAAGGUGUUGAGAUGUUAAGUAAAGGAGUGAUAUGAGCAGAAAGGUGUUGAGAUGUUAAGUAAAGGAGUGAUAUGAGCAGAAAGGUGUUGAGAUGUUAAGUAAAGGAGUGAUAUGAGCAGAGGUCUGUGUUGAAAUGUUAAGUAAAGGAGUGAUAUGAGCAGAAAGGUGUUGAGAUGUUAAGUAAAGGAGUGAUAUGAGUAGAGAGGUCUGUGUUGAAAUGUUAAGUAAAGGAGUGAUGAGUAGAGAGGUCUGUGUUGAAAUGUUAAGUAAAGGAAUGAUAUGAGCAGAAAGGUGUUGAGAUGUUAAGUAAAGGAGUGAUAUGAGCAGAAAGGUGUUGAGAUGUUAAGUAAAGGAGUGAUAUGAGUAGAGGUCUGUGUUGACCAGAAAUAUAUACGUGGUUAUGGAGUGUGAUACUGUGGGACACCUUUACAUCCCUCUCCCACAUUCAUGAUCAAACACUUACUGCAUUCCUGAACCGCCUCCAUAUUAUUCUAACCAUACAAAGCAUAGAAGUCAAUGUAUGAAACAGAGAUACUGCCCUUAACUGACCUCUGGACAGUCUAUGCAGCUCCACUGUGCUGUUCAGUGAUAUAGAAACCGCAUUAAACUGAUGUGCUGAUAAGAGUGGAGUUGACGGGCUGGGGUUAGCAUGGAGUUAGCGCCACACACACACACACACACACACACACACACACACACACACACACACACACACACACACACACACACACACACACACACACACACACACA